UCCUUGCCAAACUGCAUAUGCUAGCUACUGUUUGAAGAUGACGUUGUAAAAAAUGCAUAAGCUGGGGAUGGCAUGGUGAUGCUGCUGGUCGAGAAGUACCAUCCUAGAAUAAAUUUAACAUCAACACGGUGAUUUGAGAAUGCAAACAAGCACAAUAAGAUCUUCCAUGUCAAUUGUUCCCUCCUUACCUGCCAAUGCUUCCUCCUACCUUGCCAGCCACGUGUGUCCUCACCUUUGUUCAUCAAUUCGUGUGCAGGUAUGGAUCGGUGAUGUUUUUGACGCCCAUAGAGCUAUUACCUCGUGCAUGUGUAUUUUGUGUGCCAGUUUACCAGUUAGUGAUAAUGUCCGUAUGAAUGU